UAUAAUUUCCCACCUCCCGAACUCCCCGAUUUACAUCUUCCGUCUACCACCACUAACCCACGACCAGAUCUGUGAAACCUAGAGCCGCAGCCAUUAGAUCCCCGUGCCUCGGUAGUGCCUCUCCAGUGAACACUGCAGUGGCGACACCUCUCCUCCCCUCGUUGGUGCAUGGUUCCUCGUCUGGUUGAAAAGUUUCCUGACGUGCUAAGCAGAGACGCGAUCCAGGCAGACUCGGUGCAAGGAUGCCCGUCGCCACAAGCCCAAGCGGACGGUAGCCUGGAAUUCCAUACGGUUCAUGGUCCUACAGGCUUCUAAAAAAAUGCAUCAAAGCUUCAAGUUGUACUGUCUAGAAGAGGAUAGAUAAGGUUCUGAAGAUGGAUCAUGAGGAUGUUGCUGCACCAGGCUGGCAGUACUUAUUUUUCGAAGCUAAUGAGUAAUAGUUAUGGUGAUCGCUAAUUACCCUGAUGCUAACCAGAUAUAUAUUUCAGCCAGUACUGAACAUUUACGAACUGUGAUGCAAAUGAAAGUGUUGUUGUAAUUUUUUGAUGAUUCACAGUAAUGAAAGACCAAAAGGAAAAGAUCUACAUGAUGCUGCGAAGACCCGUUGGUGUUGAAGUACAUGCAGAAGCUUAGAUAGAUUCUAGCUAUUUAUAAUUAUUACUUGUGUACUUAAGUAUUUUCUGUUCAUGAUUAUUUUGCCCCUCUUGUACAUGUGCAUAGAAUUCAGUUGUAAA